GAAACAUAGCAAUGGGUCAGUGCAUCUGGCUGUUAACCAGAAGGUUGGUGGUUCAAGCCCAUCCAGGGACG
rnacentral:tRNA from 1 species